rnacentral:tRNA from 1 species
UCCCUGGUGGUCUAGUGGUUAGUACUUGGUGCUUUCACCACUGUGGCCCAGGUUCAAUCUCUGGUCUGGGAA